AAAGGGCGCGUAGGCGGCCAUUCAAGUCGGGGGUGAAAGCCUGUGGCUCAACCACAGAAUUGCCUUCGAUACUGUUUGGCUUGAGUUUGGUAGAGGUUGGUGGAACUGCGAGUGUAGAGGUGAAAUUCGUAGAUAUUCGCAAGAACACCAGUGGCGAAGGCGGCCAACUGGACCAACACUGACGCUGAGGCGCGAAAGCGUGGGGAGCAAACAGGAUUAGAUACCCUAGU
rnacentral:rRNA from 1 species